AGAUGAAAAGAGAGAUGGUCAUAGAGAAAUGAUGGAAAGAUGAGGUUAUGAAGACGUGAGAGGCUGGCAAGAGGAACAUGAAUAACUGCCUGAAACUGACACUGUUCUCCAAAGCCGGCUGUGGCUCCCCUGGAGGUGGAUGAAAUCUUAAAGGAACCCAUCCAUGUGGUCCUGAGUGGCAACCUUCCUUCACUGACAAGAAGAGGUUCUCCGAAGACUGGGCAUUUGACCACACAAAAAACUUGCCUUCAAAACAAACACAUCAAGUCAAGCAUCUUCUCUGAGCACCUUGUGAACCUGAAAUCAAUUGUCUGAAGAUCGCAGAAGCCAGGCCUGGAUGUCCAUGGUUGUCAGAAGAAAGAUUCCAGAGCCGAAGUGGAUGUUUCUGCUAAUCUGUGAGCACACAAUUAAUUCGCAUGCAUGAGGCAGUUUGGUGUCCUUCCCUACCAGCGCUGUGCACACUAAUGAACUAAGUCUGAGAGUAGAGGCAAUGAUUAUGAAGAGGCAGCUGGGUGGCUGGGCCUGAUCUGGGCCUGGGGAGCCCGUGGCUGACCCCCGCAGGCCCGCUGUGCAAAUGAUUUCACACUUAGGCGGCCCAAUCAAUUGGGUGUUUUCUCUGCUUAAAAAAAUCACUGGGAUAAAAUGCUUCCUUCUCUAUAGUCACGGCAUGUUCUAGGGGCCCUUCAGGGGGCCUUUGAAAGGGCUGGUUUUGUAUUUAAGAGUAAAGCGUUGUUAUCAAGAAUUUUUAAUAUAUUCUCCAGCCAUUGAGAGAUGACACUCUUCUCAGAAGCUCCUGAAAGAGAUGCCUCUGAAGGGAUUUAGAGGCGCCCCAGGGAGGAGGGAGCAGGGUUCAGGCUCUUGGCUGAGGAGAGGCAAUUCUGGGACAGGGGAGGGGGGUGAUGUCAGAGGUUGGAGGGAUGCCUGGUUUCAGGGAAGUAGGAGGGGGCAGAGCACAGCGCAAUGGGCUCCCAGGGGAGCCCGGGGGGGUCCCCAAACAGGAAGCCCAGCUGGUGAAGACUGUGUUGUCAACUGGGGAGACAUGUGAUGGGUGCUUCUUCCAUUCUGCUCUAGUACCUCAAUGCCCUCAGGGCUUCCUACCUGCCUUUGCAAAGACUUGUGUAGGUCCUGACUCAAGGGCACCGUGUGGACUCCAAGGCAGGGUGCUACAGAGUAGGACUCAGGUAGGUGACCGUGGUAUUUUGGGGGUGUGGGGGGUGGGCAUUGUUUUUCCCCAGCACAUAUGUGGGAGGUGGGGGAACACAGGCUGGCUUGUCCUCGGGUCUGCAGGGCCACCAAGGCCCAGUUCCUCCCUGAAGCACCUUCUUCAUGGACUCGAAGGAAAGGAGCCAAAGUGACUGGUCCUGCCACAUUGUCGCCCCUCGGCGAGGGCAGUGGUGCGCACAGGGUGGGGAGAUCUGGAGAACCCAGGGCCUUCGUAGGAAAUGUCCUCAUGUUUUCCCCCAGGGCCGUGGUUGGCAAACUGCGGCUCUUG